GGUCUGUUGGCUUAGGUGGUUAGAGCAUGGUGCUAAUACUGUCAAAGUUGCAGGUUUGAUUCCCGUAAGGGCCA
rnacentral:tRNA from 1 species